AGCGCUCCCCGGGGCCGUCUGUCACCGCCCGCCGGUGCCCCCCCCGCAGCCAUCCGAACCCUCCCGAUCCAAUUACAGCGCCGCCAACUUCCGCGCGGGGCCGCUCCGCCGUCAUCGCUCCGUUCUUAAUUGCAUUGUCCCUCCCCUCCCCCAGCGCUGCGGCAGAGGGGGAGGGGGGAAAAAAUGAGAUUUAGCCCUGAAAGUGCCUUUGAGCGCUCCCCCGCGGGGAAUCGCCUUUAAUUUGACAGCUCACAGCGGCCGCUCCCCGACCCGCGGUUCCCGCAGCCGUGACCCCGCAGGGCGGUGCGGAGCCCCCGGAGCGCUCCGGCCGCGGCCGUCCGUUCCACGACGGGUGAGCAAAGCGGAAGGGCCGCCCCCCCACCCCCCCGCCCCGCAGCCGACGGCUCACGUCGGCCCCACGAGCGCCCGACUGUCGCGCAGCCGCAGCGAGGAUGCGGAGCGGAUAACGCGGGGGGGGGGGGGGGGGUGGGGGGGAAGGGGGGUGGUUUGGCCGUCCCCGCAGCCCCCCGGCCCUCGGGGCCCCCCGCCCCUCCCCCGGCAGGAGGCCGCUCUGGGUGACGCACAGCUCAUUCCGUGGGUCUUCUCUCCAUCCCCACAGCAGGAACCGGGCCCGGCCCCGCAGCUCCUCCAUCCCCCUCUCGAUGCCCCCGCCGCGGCCCCCAGCCCACCCCAGCCCACCCCAGCCCUCUCGGCCCCCAACCCCGUCCCGGGGUGCAGCUGAUCGGGGUAGGAGCGGCUGCGGGGCCGGGCGGUGUGCAGACCCCCAUCACCCCAGGCACGGUGCUUCCCAGCGCCGCACAGAGGGGCUCAGCCCGGGGACGGCCGCGGGUGUGGGAUCCCGCAUCGGGCACAGAGCCCCGCGCUGCGGCCACGGGUGUCCCCCAAUCACCGGCACGGGGCCACGCUCAGCCCCACGUGCACCCACGCACAGCGCGUCCACCCCGAUAGCCUCGGGGCAGCUGCUGUGCCAUGCCGUGCCGUGCCGUGCCACGCCGUGCUCUGCCAUGCCGUGCCGUGCCGUGCCGUGCCGUGCCACGCUGCUGGCCGGGGGACCCGUCAGCCUCACCCCGCGCCUCCCUUCUCCCCAUCUCAUCUCUUUCCUCUUCCAAUUUUCCGGAUGAUUAACUCCACCGCUGUUUCCUGACAACCUCUGCUGUUGGUAUUAAUUUCUUUUAACUAGUGAUUAAUUA